rnacentral:lncRNA from 1 species
GGGGAGAGACCUUGAGACCUCCUGCGGCUGUGUCUAAAGUGUCUUGCCCACCUCUUCAUCCUGGUUGGGUGGCCUGUAGCACACUCCCACGAUAAGGCAUUGUGUUCAACUUAAGAAAUGAACGCAUGAAGAAUAGCUUUGUUUGCAUUCUGGUAACUGCUGAGGCUUUGGCUGAGGACAGCUUUCAGCUGCACCUGAACUAGGCUGGAUUUGUCUCCUGCUCUCCAUAGGUGUAUGGGAACUGUAUAAUCACAGCCUGACCCUCUGUUUGACCACCUGAGGCGAGUGCUGAGUCAGCUGCAGGGGCACAGGUGAUGGCAGUUUCAGCUGAGUGACCGGAAGGGGUGGACCCUGGCUGCAGCCCUGCUAGACCCCAUGUAAGGGCUGACUCCCAAGGAGGAAGGAUCUCUACCUGGAGGUCACCCUUAGUGGAGCCCUUCUGCGCGCCCAGGGUACGGGAAAGCAGUGCGGAGGGAACGUGUGUGGUGAGAUGCUGAGGAGAGAUUGCCUCCCUUGCCCCAGCAGGCUGCUUGUGUCCUGGUGAUGCACGGUGACGAGAAGGCUGCUGUUCUGAACAGCACAAGGCAACAGAGACGUUGACAGCAGCGAUGGUGAUGGAGAUGUUGAGAGUGGAGGAGCUCUUGGCUCGCUGCAGCCACCCCAGCAUUCCCGGAGGUGGGCACGGGGGAGCCUGGGGGGGGGCUUUGGUGCUGCACAAACGACUGCAGGCAGAGCUCCCUGCUGGCCCCGGAGGAGUCCGAGUGCUCUGUGCUGGAAGAAGAGGAGUCGAGGCUGCUGGAGACAUCAGGGCUCAGUGGCUCUGUGGCAGUGAUGCGCUGCAUCAGCUCUUGCGUUUGGCAGCUGUUUGCAGUGGCUUUGGUCCCCUCUCUUGUGACACCGGGCAGGUCCUGCUUGUGCUGGGGGACCUCCAGAGCACUCUCCAGAGCCGCUUCUGAAAAAGCAAGAACAUCCCCCC